rnacentral:rRNA from 1 species
CGCGGUAAUACGGAGGAUGCAAGCGUUAUCCGGGAUUCAUUGGGUUUAAAGGGUGCGUAGGCGGCCAUUUAAGUCAGUGGUGAAAUCCUGCCGCUUAACGGUAGAAUUGCCAUUGAUACUGAAAGGCUUGAGUCCAGUUGAGGUAAGCGGAAUGUGUAGUGUAGCGGUGAAAUGCUUAGAUAUUACACAGAACACCAAUUGCGAAGGCAGCUUACUAAACUGGCACUGACGCUGAUGCACGAAAGCGUGGGGAGCGAACAGGAUUAGAUACCCUGGUAGUCCACGCCGUAAACGAUGUUCACUCGCUGUUUGCGAUACACAGCAAGCGGCCAAGCGAAAGCAUUAAGUGAACCACCUGGGGAGUACGAUCGCAAGGUUGAAACUCAAAGGAAUUGACGGGGGCCCGCACAAGCGGAGGAACAUGUGGUUUAAUUCGAUGAUACGCGAGGAACCUUACCUGGGCUUAAAUGUAGAACGACAGAUUGUGAAAGCAGUCCUUCUUCGGACGUUUUACAAGGUGCUGCAUGGUUGUCGUCAGCUCGUGCCGUGAGGUGUCGGGUUAAGUCCCAUAACGAGCGCAACCCUUAUCGUUAGUUGCCAGCGGGUCAAGCCGGGGACUCUAGCGAGACUGCCACCGUAAGGUGUGAGGAAGGUGGGGAUGACGUCAAAUCAGCACGGCCCUUAUGUCCAGGGCUACACACGUGUUACAAUGGCCGAUACAAAGGGCAGCUACUUCGUGAGAAGAUGCUAAUCUCCAAAGUCGGUCUCAGUUCGGAUCGAAGUCUGCAACCCGACUUCGUGAAGCUGGAUUCGCUAGUAAUCGCAUAUCAGCCAUGAUGCGGUGAAUACGUUCCCGGGCCUUGUACACACCGCCCGUCAAACAAUGGAAGCUGGGGGUACCUGAAGUC